rnacentral:misc_RNA from 1 species
GUUCAACGUGUCAGAUGCUCCCUGAAAGAAACAGUCAUGCAGGUGAUCAAGUGAUCAAUAAGCACUUAAAAAUUGAGGUGUGAUGGUUAUUUCUGAAUUUUGAAUGAUAUUACGUGAAAAAUAAAAGAAACUUUAGAGGAAAUGCUAAAGAAGAAAUGGAGAUUAGAUAAUCAAUUUACAAGUAAACACAAACUGCAAAUCACCACCAGUAUCUCUCACAUUGAUGCAUAGACAUCACUUUCCAUGAACUUUCAGGCCCGCUUAUUUUCUUCUCAAAGAAUGGUUGUUAUAUAGUGUAAGCAGAAAACUGGCAUGGGACUUACCAGAGAUAAUACGCAUGCUGGAUAUCCAAAAAAUCGUUGCACUUAAGGAUGGAUACAAAAAAAAUAUAUAAAUUUUUAUUUAACUUUCAAAGCAUAACUGAACUUUCCUUCUAUUUUAAGUUCAACUUCUCUCCGACGAAGUGCUUCAAUUUAAACGAAAAAGCCACACUAAACCAAAACUAUUUGGCUUUUUCAGUUCGAUUUUGAUUUUCACAUAAUUUGGUUGAUCAAGUUUGGUUCGGUUUUUGAAGGAAAAAAAACCCUAAUUAACCAAACCAACAGAAGUUCCAUAUAUUCUAUAUGUUUAUUAUAUAAAUAGUACAUAUAAAAAUAUGAAUAUACAUCUUAUUAAAAUUAAAUAACUGAGCCAAACUGAAUUUUGGUUCUAAUCGGUUCAGUUCAACUACUGUUUCAGUUCAAUUUCCCCUGUAAAAAGAAAUUUCAAUUUAUUCUGUUUUUGCUAAAUUUCGAAUUGUAUGGUGUUAAAAUCAAAGAGAGUGCUACCAAAUUAUGUAUUAAUUCAUUUUUUAAUCUUUAGAUGGAGGACUCUUGACACACCUCCUCAAGUGGCAACCAUUUUGGUCGACACUUGAACCUUGAAAUCCUCCCCCUUAAACCUUGAAUUGAGGCAGCAGCAACACCGAAAAUAUGUACACUUGAAUUAAAUCAGGCCAAAUCAGCUUUGAUACCAUGUUAAAUUUAGAGAGAG